rnacentral:rRNA from 1 species
GAUGAACGCUGGCGGCGUGCCUAAUACAUGCAAGUCGAGCGAACGGACGAGAAGCUUGCUUCUCUGAUGUUAGCGGCGGACGGGUGAGUAACACGUGGAUAACCUACCUAUAAGACUGGGAUAACUUCGGGAAACCGGAGCUAAUACCGGAUAAUAUUUUGAACCGCAUGGUUCAAAAGUGAAAGACGGUCUUGCUGUCACUUAUAGAUGGAUCCGCGCUGCAUUAGCUAGUUGGUAAGGUAACGGCUUACCAAGGCAACGAUGCAUAGCCGACCUGAGAGAGUGAUCGGCCACACUGGAACUGAGACACGGUCCAGACUCCUACGGGAGGCCGCAGUAGGGAAUCUUCCGCAAUGGGCGAAAGCCUGACGGAGCAACGCCGCGUGAGUGAUGAAGGUCUUCGGAUCGUAAAACUCUGUUAUUAGGGAAGAACAUAUGUGUAAGUAACUGUGCACAUCUUGACGGUACCUAAUCAGAAAGCCACGGCUAACUACGUG